GGGUCAGUAGGUUGGUCGUGCCACCGGUACGUACUGGUCUCACUGAUUCCUCCUUCCUGAAGAACCGUAAUGCCAUUAAUUUGGUAUUGCGGGGAAACAGGACUGUUACUUUGAAAAAAUUAGGGUGUUUAAAGCAAGCUAACGCUCGAAUACAUUAGCAUGGAAUAAUGAAAUAGGACGAUCGAUCCUAUUUUGUUGGUUUCUAGGAUUGACGUA
rnacentral:rRNA from 1 species